AUCCCCUUGAACAUAUAUAUACCUUUUGCCUUUAUAUCGAUCACUUUCAUACGG
rnacentral:antisense_RNA from 1 species